rnacentral:rRNA from 1 species
UACGUAGGGUGCGAGCGUUAAUCGGAAUUACUGGGCGUAAAGCGUGCGCAGGCGGUUUGUUAAGACAGAUGUGAAAUCCCCGGGCUUAACCUGGGAACUGCAUUUGUGACUGGCAAGCUGAGAGUAUGGUCGAGAGGGGGGGUAGAAUUCCACGUGUAGCAGUGAAAUGCGUAGAGAUGUGGAGGAAUACCGAUGGCGAAGGCAGCCCCCUGGGCCAAUACUGACGCUCAUGCACGAAAGCGUGGGGAGCAAACAGG